ACGACCUUACUUGAACAGGAUCUGUUCUAUAGGCUCGUACCAUUGUGUCCUUGAGUUCUAAGGAGACAAGAACCAAAGUCUGGUUGAUGAACCAUGACCAUGUGAUCAGAGCGUGAUUAAUGGCCUGAUGGCUCCUUCUAUUGAGGAUGUUAUCUUGGGCAGUGGAGGAUCGUUCUCAAUCAGUGUGUUCCAUCUGGUUGGGUUGAUCACAUGGUUGUCUGACAGACC
rfam:Lupinus angustifolius cultivar Tanjil contig_40796, whole genome shotgun sequence.